rnacentral:rRNA from 1 species
UACGUAGGGGGCGAGCGUUGUCCGGAUUUACUGGGCGUAAAGCGCGUGUAGGCGGCUCAUUAAGUCGGGUGUGAAAGCCCGGGGCUCAACCCCGGGAUGCCGCCCGAGACUGGUGGACUUGAGGCUGGAAGAGGGGAGUGGAAUUCCAGGUGUAGCGGUGAAAUGCGUAGAGAUCUGGAGGAACACCCGUGGCGAAGGCGGCUCCCUGGUCCGGUUCUGACGCUGAGACGCGAAAGCGCGGGGAGCGAACGGG